rnacentral:rRNA from 1 species
AUUGAACGCUGGCGGCAGGCUUAACACAUGCAAGUCGAGCGGGGGAAGGUAGCUUGCUACCGGACCUAGCGGCGGACGGGUGAGUAAUGCUUAGGAAUCUGCCUAUUAGUGGGGGACAACAUCUCGAAAGGGAUGCUAAUACCGCAUACGUCCUACGGGAGAAAGCAGGGGAUCUUCGGACCUUGCGCUAAUAGAUGAGCCUAAGUCGGAGUAGCUAGUUGGGGGGGUAAAGGCCUACCAAGGCGACGAUCUGUAGCGGGUCUGAGAGGAUGAUCCGCCACACUGGGGCUGAGACACGGCCCAGACUCCUACGGGAGGCAGCAGUGGGGAAUAUUGGACAAUGGGGGGAACCCUGAUCCAGCCAUGCCGCGUGUGUGAAGAAGGCCUUAUGGUUGUAAAGCACUUUAAGCGAGGAGGAGGCUACUCUAGUUAAUACCUAGGGAUAGUGGACGUUACUCGCAGAAUAAGCACCGGCUAACUCUGUGCCAGCCGCCGCCGUAA